ACGCUGGCGGCAGGCCUAACACAUGCAAGUCGAGCGGUAGCACAGAGAGCUUGCUCUCGGGUGACGAGCGGCGGACGGGUGAGUAAUGUCUGGGAAACUGCCUGAUGGAGGGGGAUAACUACUGGAAACGGUAGCUAAUACCGCAUAACGUCGCAAGACCAAAGUGGGGGACCUUCGGGCCUCAUGCCAUCAGAUGUGCCCAGAUGGGAUUAGCUGGUAGGUGGGGUAACGGCUCACCUAGGCGACGAUCCCUAGCUGGUCUGAGAGGAUGACCAGCCACACUGGAACUGAGACACGGUCCAGACUCCUACGGGAGGCAGCAGUGGGGAAUAUUGCACAAUGGGCGCAAGCCUGAUGCAGCCAUGCCGCGUGUGUGAAGAAGGCCUUCGGGUUGUAAAGCACUUUCAGCGGGGAGGAAGGCGGUGAGGUUAAUAACCUCAUCGAUUGACGUUACCCGCAGAAGAAGCACCGGCUAACUCCGUGCCAGCAGCCGCGGUAAUACGGAGGGUGCAAGCGUUAAUCGGAAUUACUGGGCGUAAAGCGCACGCAGGCGGUCUGUCAAGUCGGAUGUGAAAUCCCCGGGCUCAACCUGGGAACUGCAUUCGAAACUGGCAGGCUAGAGUCUUGUAGAGGGGGGUAGAAUUCCAGGUGUAGCGGUGAAAUGCGUAGAGAUCUGGAGGAAUACCGGUGGCGAAGGCGGCCCCCUGGACAAAGACUGACGCUCAGGUGCGAAAGCGUGGGGAGCAAACAGGAUUAGAUACCCUGGUAGUCCACGCUGUAAACGAUGUCGAUUUGGAGGUUGUGCCCUUGAGGCGUGGCUUCCGGAGCUAACGCGUUAAAUCGACCGCCUGGGGAGUACGGCCGCAAGGUUAAAACUCAAAUGAAUUGACGGGGGCCCGCACAAGCGGUGGAGCAUGUGGUUUAAUUCGAUGCAACGCGAAGAACCUUACCUGGUCUUGACAUCCACAGAACUUUCCAGAGAUGGAUUGGUGCCUUCGGGAACUGUGAGACAGGUGCUGCAUGGCUGUCGUCAGCUCGUGUUGUGAAAUGUUGGGUUAAGUCCCGCAACGAGCGCAACCCUUAUCCUUUGUUGCCAGCGGUUCGGCCGGGAACUCAAAGGAGACUGCCAGUGAUAAACUGGAGGAAGGUGGGGAUGACGUCAAGUCAUCAUGGCCCUUACGACCAGGGCUACACACGUGCUACAAUGGCAUAUACAAAGAGAAGCGACCUCGCGAGAGCAAGCGGACCUCAUAAAGUAUGUCGUAGUCCGGAUUGGAGUCUGCAACUCGACUCCAUGAAGUCGGAAUCGCUAGUAAUCGUAGAUCAGAAUGCUACGGUGAAUACGUUCCCGGGCCUUGUACACACCGCCCGUCACACCAUGGGAGUGGGUUGCAAAAGAAGUAGGUAGCUUAACCUUCGGGAGGGCGCUUACCACUUUGUGAUUCAUGACUGGGGGAAGUCGAACAAG
rnacentral:rRNA from 2 species